AACAAUCUGGUUUUAUCUGAUUUCAGAUGAAGUCAUAUAUUUUCUUGUAUCUUGAUGGUUUGUUUAAAACCAGAUCUUCCUGAUUUGGAGCCAGAGAUGCUGACAGAGUUGAUUUUGAAUUGCAGUUGCCCCUGAAGUUGUAAUGGUUCAAAAUCAGGUAAAAGUCUCUACUGAAAAAAAGAAUGCACAGAAUUGCUAUUUUGUCAAGGAAGAAUAAGUGAGAUUGAAGAAGAGAAGAAUGAGCGAGAAUGAAUGAGGAUAAAUGACUGUUGUAACAAAAUGCAUGUAUUUCUGCAGAUCUUAUUUUCAUAAAGGAAAGCUAUUCCUUUUCAGAAAUGUCAUAAAUUCCGUGUAUUAGCAAAGACAGCAUGCCG